rnacentral:rRNA from 1 species
CAGUCGAGCGAAUCGAUGGGAGCUUGCUCCCUGAGAUUAGCGGCGGACGGGUGAGUAACACGUGGGCAACCUGCCUAUAAGACUGGGAUAACUUCGGGAAACCGGAGCUAAUACCGGAUACGUUCUUUUCUCGCAUGAGAGAAGAUGGAAAGACGGUUUACGCUGUCACUUAUAGAUGGGCCCGCGGCGCAUUAGCUAGUUGGUGAGGUAAUGGCUCACCAAGGCGACGAUGCGUAGCCGACCUGAGAGGGUGAUCGGCCACACUGGGACUGAGACACGGCCCAGACUCCUACGGGAGGCAGCAGUAGGGAAUCUUCCGCAAUGGACGAAAGUCUGACGGAGCAACGCCGCGUGAACGAAGAAGGCCUUCGGGUCGUAAAGUUCUGUUGUUAGGGAAGAACAAGUACCAGAGUAACUGCUGGUACCUUGACGGUACCUAACCAGAAAGCCACGGCUAACUACGUGCCAGCAGCCGCGGUAAUACGUAGGUGGCAAGCGUUGUCCGGAAUUAUUGGGCGUAAAGCGCGCGCAGGUGGUUCCUUAAGUCUGAUGUGAAAGCCCACGGCUCAACCGUGGAGGGUCAUUGGAAACUGGGGAACUUGAGUGCAGAAGAGGAAAGUGGAAUUCCAAGUGUAGCGGUGAAAUGCGUAGAGAUUUGGAGGAACACCAGUGGCGAAGGCG